AGAAAUCAGUUCAGCACUAAGUCACUUUGUCUAUAUGGCAAAUGUGAGAUGCAGUGUAUGGAGCGUCAAUAUUCUAGUAUGAGAAAUUAACGAUUUAAGUCCUUCUUAAAUGAGGCCAUUUACCCAUAGAGGGUGCCAGGCCCGUAUAACGUUAAUGAUUACUAGAUGAUGUUUCCAAAGAGUCGUGUUGCUUGAUAGUGCAGCACUAAGUGGGUGGUAAACUCCAUCUAAAACUAAAUAUAACCAUGAGACCGAUAGUAAACAAGUACCGUGAGGGAAAGUUGAAAAGAACUCUGAAUAGAGAGUUAAACAGUACGUGAAACUGCUUAGAGGUUAAGCCCGAUGAACCUGAAUAUCCGUUAUGGAAAAUUCAUCAUUAAAGUUGUAAUAUUUUAACAAUAUUAUAAUAAUAGUGUGCAUUUUUUCCAUAUAAGGACAUUGUAAUCUAUUAGCAUAUACCAAAUUUAUCAUAAAAUAUGACUUAUAGUUUAUUCAAAUUAUUAUGCUUGCAUUUUAACAUAAAAUAAAUGUCAUUAAUUUGAUAAAGUGUUGAUAAAUUAAAAUUAAUACAGUGCGUUAAUUUUUCGAAAUUAUAUAAUGGCAUAAUUAUCAUCGAUUUUUGUGUUUAUUAUAUGCAUUUGUAUGAUUAA
rnacentral:rRNA from 1 species